rnacentral:tRNA from 1 species
GGUAAAAUGGCUGAGAUAUAGGUAAUAAACUGUAAAUUUAUUUAGGAAAUUUUAAUUUCUUUUACCA